GACGAACGCUGGCGGCGUGCUUAACACAUGCAAGUCGAACGGAAAGGCCCUGCUUUUGUGGGGUGCUCGAGUGGCGAACGGGUGAGUAACACGUGAGUAACCUGCCCUUGACUUUGGGAUAACUUCAGGAAACUGGGGCUAAUACCGGAUAGGAGCUCCUGCUGCAUGGUGGGGGUUGGAAAGUUUCGGCGGUUGGGGAUGGACUCGCGGCUUAUGAGCUUGUUGGUGGGGUAGUGGCUUACCAAGGCUUUGACGGGUAGCCGGCCUGAGAGGGUGACCGGCCACAUUGGGACUGAGAUACGGACAAGACUCCUACUGGAGGCAGCAGUGGGGAAUAUUACACAGUGGGCGGAAGCCUGAUGAAGCAACGCCGCGUGCGGGAUGACGGCCUUCGGGUUGUAAACCGCUUUCGCCUGUGACGCAGCGUGAGUGACGGUAAUGGGUAAAGAAGCACCGGCUAACUACGUG
rnacentral:rRNA from 1 species